UUAAGCAUAUUAAUAAGCGGAGGAAAAGAAACUAACAAGGAUUCCCCCAGUAACGGCGAGCGAAGUGGGAAGAGCUCGAGCCUGAAAUCACCGGCAGUUCAUGCCGGAGAAUUGUGGCCGGGAGAGGCAGCUGUGCCCAGACUGAGUCUGUCGAAGUUGACCUGGAAAGGCACGUCAGAGAGGGUGAGAGCCCCGUGUGCGACACAUUCGGUCAGGGCUGCUACUGUCUUCGGAGAGUCGGGUUGUUCGGGAAUGCAGCCCAAAGUGGGUGGUAAACUCCAUCUAAAGCUAAAUACUGGCACGAGACCGAUAGCGAACAAGUACCAUGAGGGAAAGGUGAAAAGUACUUUGAAAAGAGAGUCAAAAAGACCGCGAAACCGUUAGGAGGGAAACGAAUGCAGCUGAAGUGGCUCCGGUCAGUCUCAGGAGAUGUCGGUCCGGCGGAACGGGUUGGCGGAAACUGAAAAGUGCCGCGGCUCGUGCCCCUGCCGACUCCUCUGCACUUCUGUUCGGAGCCGGCCAACAACGGUUGGUCCCGGCUCACAAAGGCGAUCGGGUAGGUAGCUCUGCGAUCUUCGGGGAGAACUUAUAGCCGUUCGUCGGGCAGUCCGGGAGCGACCGAGGAGAGUCGCGAAUUUUCGUGCCGGCAGCGCAGGCCCACUUGGGCUAGGGUCGCUUCUGCUCGUUUGGGCACCGCGCGCGGGACUGCUUGCAGUGCCGUGUGUCGAAUGUCUGCUCGGGCGGGAGGUCGAUCGCUCCUUGCGCUGUAGUUGUUGGUGUCCAAAUGGCUGCAUCCGACCCGUCUU
rnacentral:rRNA from 1 species